AUGGCUCAGAUUGAACGCUGGCGGCAGGCCUAACACAUGCAAGUCGAACGGUAACAGGAAGAAGCUUGCUCUUGCUGACGAGUGGCGGACGGGUGAGUAAUGUCUGGGAAACUGCCUGAUGGAGGGGGAUAACUACUGGAAACGGUAGCUAAUACCGCAUAACGUCGCAAGACCAAAGAGGGGGACCUUCGGGCCUCUUGCCAUCGGAUGUGCCCAGAUGGGAUUAGCUUGUUGGUGGGGUAACGGCUCACCAAGGCGACGAUCCCUAGCUGGUCUGAGAGGAUGACCAGCCACACUGGAACUGAGACACGGUCCAGACUCCUACGGGAGGCAGCGGUGGGGAAUAUUGCACAAUGGGCGCAAGCCUGAUGCAGCCAUGCCGCGUGUAUGAAGAAGGCCUUCGGGUUGUAAAGUACUUUCAGCGGGGAGGAAGGGAGUAAAGUUAAUACCUUUGCUCAUUGACGUUACCCGCAGAAGAAGCACCGGCUAACUCCGUGCCAGCAGCAGC
rnacentral:rRNA from 1 species